UGUAUACAGAACAGAACAAUAAGGCUUCGCGUUCCCAUCUUUUUCACUGUGCUUCCUACAUACGCGUGCGAUGCGUUCUUUUGUUUUUUUUCUCAUUGGUGCCGAGAACGAACAGCACAAGAUCGACAUGGUCGUGUGGUGCACGCAUCUGUCGGGCAAGGACGAGGCUGGACUUUAGUGCGUGAUCACCAGGAAGCGUGGGAGGCAGUAUGGCGGCCGACUGUAGUCAGGCCAGCAAGGUACCUGGUGUCUUGCUGCCUGUCAUGCGGACCUGGUGGUUCGUCCUUCGGACCUGGUAGCCAGUCGCUGUGGUAGCCUGCUGUCGUGAUGCCCACCCUGUGGAUCUGGUGGCCAGCUGAUCUAGAGGCCUCGUAUCUGGGUGCCCGCCUUGUUGACCUAGUGGCCAGCUGUUCUAGCAGCCUAGUGUCUUGAUGCCCACUCUGUGGAUCUAGUGGCCAGCUGAUCUCGAGACCUGGUAACUUGAUGAUCACCCAGUGGACCUGGUGGCCAGCUGCCUGGUGUUUUGAUGUCCGCCUUGUGGAUCUGGUGGCCAGGUGAUCCAGCGAACUCCUACGUCGAUGCCCACCCGGCUGACCUGGCGUCCAGCUGUUCUAGCACUCUGGUGCUUGGCUGCGCACCCUGCAGACCUGGCGGCCAUCUUUUCUUGUGGCGUCUACGGCUGCUCAUGAGAUAGCGCACCAUUGCCCACCAUUGACGGUGCAUGUGGUUGCGUGCAAACGGGACAUCCGUGUGGCUUUUGGCUCAAACAUCGCGGAGACGGACAACCGGGCCAAGUUCCGCUUCCAGCAGACGAGG